GACAGAGGGUGCAAACGUUGUUCGGAAUUACUGGGCGUAAAGCGCGUGUAGGCGGCCAUGCAAGUCGGAUGUGAAAGCCCUCGGCUCAACCGGGGAAGUGCACUCGAAACUGCAAGGCUAGAGUCUCGGAGAGGAUCGUAGAAUUCUCGGUGUAGAGGUGAAAUUCGUAGAUAUCGAGAGGAACACCGGUGGCGAAGGCGGCGAUCUGGACGAUGACUGACGCUGAGACGCGAAAGCGUGGGGAGCAAACAGG
rnacentral:rRNA from 1 species